UGAGCAAUCUGCCCUUCUCUUCGGAAUAAGCGUGGGAAACCGCGUCUAAUGCCGAAUACGACCUCCUUUCGCAUGAUCGGAGGUGGAAAGCUCCGGCGGAGAAGGAUGAGCUCGCGGCCUAUCAGCUAGUUGGUGUGGGUAAUAGCCCACCAAGGCGACGACGGGUAGCCGGCCUGAGAGGGUGACCGGCCACACUGGGACUGAGACACGGCCCAGACUCCUACGGGAGGNAG
rnacentral:rRNA from 1 species